UUAAAUUAAAAGAUCUGUUCAUUAUUUCAUUCGCUCUCUCUCCCCGUUAAUCCCAAUUGAAGAAUGGCGAUUAGAGGUCUAAAAAAACUCUAGAUAAAUUCCAACACUUUCCUUCGAUUCUUACUAGAUUUAUCACUGAAAUCAUCUCUUGCUUCAUAUACUAUGUGUUCUAUAGUUAUUUACGGUUGGUUUGCGGAAGUUAUCAAUUAUGAUUUGAAGAUUCGAGUUGGUUUUUUGGGAAGACUGUCAACAACUAAUAUUAUUGGACUAUUUAUGACUCAAGGGGUAUUAUUUUUCCCUUUAUGUAGCAUGCAUUGAUCAGUUUUAGGGUUUUUGAAAUUCUCUCUAAAUUUAGGAUUUUUUUGGGGUUUUCUUUGAAUAUUAUGUCAACUUUUG
rnacentral:lncRNA from 1 species